GGCAUGCUUACACAUGCAAGUCGAACGGCAGCAUGUCGUGUAGCAAUACACGAUGAUGGCGAGUGGCGGACGGGUGAGUAAUACGUAGGUAUCUGCCUUGAAGAGGGGGACAACCCGGGGAAACUCGGGCUAAUACCGCAUGAUACUCUGAGGAGGAAAGGCUUGGUGCAAGCCAGGCGCUUUAAGAGGAGCCUACGUCCGAUUAGUUAGUUGGUGGGGUAAAAGCCCACCAAGACAGUGAUCGGUAGCUGGUCUGAGAGGAUGAUCAGCCACACUGGGACUGAGACACGGCCCAGACUCCUACGGGAGGCAGCAGUGGGGAAUAUUGGACAAUGGGGGCAACCCUGAUCCAGCGAUGCCGCGUGUGUGAAGAAGGCCUUCGGGUUGUAAAGCACUUUAGUUGGGGAAGAAGGUGCGGGAGUGAAUAGCUCCUGUAUUUGACGGUACCCAAAGAAUAAGCACCGGCUAACUCUGUGCCAGCAGCCGCGGUAAUACAGA
rnacentral:rRNA from 1 species